rnacentral:rRNA from 1 species
UACGGGGGGGGCAAGCGUUGUUCGGAAUUACUGGGCGUAAAGGGCUCGUAGGUGGCCAACUAAGUCAGACGUGAAAUCCCUCGGCUUAACCGGGGAACUGCGUCUGAUACUGGAUGGCUUGAGUUUGGGAGAGGGAUGCGGAAUUCCAGGUGUAGCGGUGAAAUGCGUAGAGAUGUGGAGGAACACCGAUGGCGAAGGCAGCCCCCUGGGCUAACACUGACGCUCAUGCACGAAAGCGUGGGGAGCAAACAGG